CAGGAUCCUAGGGGUAAGGCUAAGAUUGCCUUUUGCCCUUAGCAUAGUAUCAACAUCCAGGCAGUUGAGUCCCUAGAGGAAUGUCACUCUGCCUGUUUCAAGAACUUGUCAGUGGGCUCUAAGUAGAAGGAAAUUCAAUAAUUUUUCUUCUGCCUAUGUUUCUCACAACAGCAUUAAAACAUAUAAAGACUUCUGUUUUCCAGGAGAUGGAAUAGAUGCACUUUUCCCUAUUCUUUCUGCUAGUGCAACAGAGAUCCCUGAACAUUGUAUCUAAAAUAAACAUAAGAUGGCUCUGAAAGUUGUAGAGAAGAAGGAAGACUGACUUGGGAACUUGAGAUCUGAGCAAUGACAUACUGGCACUCCCCUCAAAGACAUCUCUUACACCUCUAAUCACCUCUCGACGUCAGAUGCUCAGAGGACCCAGACUACCAAGGGCCCUUCUUCCCAAGAACACUGUGUUGUCAUUGGUCACACGUCUGCUCCUCUUGAACCGUGAGCUCUCUGAUAGCUGAGUUGCUCUGAGAAAGCAAUGAAAUAGCGUUGCAAAAGCGCAGUGCCCACAACAGAGCUGAUGCAUGAUACGACUCAGUAACAGCUAAAUGGAAGAGAUGCAUGGGGCAAAGUAUGGGAAAGGGGCACAGAGCUUCCGUGCCCUCUCCAGCCGCACCACCCUCCCGGGACCUCCAUGUGCUCACUAACCAGGAAGCUCUCCGAACUCCUCCAGACUGCAGCGGCACAGAAAGCUCAUUUCAUUGAGGAGAAGCUGGGGCUGAGUUUCAAACGAGAAGUUGGGAGAGGGGCUUCAGCUACACGAAUACCAGCAAAAACACACGAAAGGGCCUGGUACAGCAGGCUCACUGGACAACCAGAUCCUGCCUCCAUUUGGAAAACACCAUGGUACUUCUUGGAAAACAGAAAAUCUGCACACGGACCUUUAUCUUCCCCAUUCUGUGAGUCACUGGGAGUGAGCUCAUGGGAUUUCGGUAGGAAGUGAUAGUUGCUGUUAGGACCACGCACAGGAGAAAACAGGCCUAAGCUGCUCAGGAGGGUGAGAUCCUGGAAGGUAAAGACCGUGUCUUAUUCCUUGCUGUUGCCGAAUGCCCAGCUUCUAAUGAUGCCUCACCCACAGAAUAUUUGUUGAGUUGAACUCCUAAGUAAAGCAAGCAGAGUGAUAGUCACUCCGUUCUUUGAGAAAUACAUGUGGAAUCGCCUGAGCAAGAAAGUGAAUGCUGUAUCACAGCUGUACUUCUGAGAUCUGUUAUCAGUCUGUGAUGGCUAUGUUAUUGUUGCUGGCUAAAAUUCCCAGUUUACUGAUGAAGAGAUGCCAUGAGAGCAAGCAUUUUUUGCCUGUUCCCAAACAGAGGAUGAAAGCCAUUCCAGUCUUUUGCCAUUAAAUAUGAGGUUAGCUCGUAGUGAUCCGAAGUGGUACAUGCACCCCAAUGUUUAUAGUAGCAAUGUCCACAAUAGCCAAACUAUGGAAAGAGCCAAGAUGUCCAUCGACAGAUGAAUGGAUAAAGAAGAUGUGGUAUAUAUAUAUAUAUAUAUAUACACAAUGGAAUAUUAUACAGCCAUCAAAAGGAACUGAAUCUUGCCAUUUGCAACAACGUGGUUGGAACUAAAGAGUAUUAUGCUAAGCAAAAUAAGUCAAUCUGAGAAAGACAUGUAUCAUAUGAUCUCACUGAUAU